rnacentral:tRNA from 1 species
UCCCUGGUGGCUCAGAGGUUAAAGCAUCUGCCUAUAAUGCAGGAGACCUGGGUUUGAUUCCUGGAUUGGGAA